rnacentral:rRNA from 1 species
CAAGCCUGAUCCCGUCUGAUCUCGGAAGCUAAGCAGGUUCGGGCCUGGUUAGUACUUGGAUGGGAGACCACCUAGGAAGACCAGGUGCUGUAGGCA